GUAACCUGCCUUACACUGGGGGAUAACACUUAGAAAUAGGUGCUAAUACCGCAUAACAGGAGAAGACGCAUGUCUUUUCCUUAAAAACUCCGGUGGUGUAAGAUGGACCCGCGUCUGAUUAGCUUGUUGGCGGGGUAACGGCCCACCAAGGCGACGAUCAGUAGCCGGCCUGAGAGGGUGAACGGCCACAUUGGGACUGAGACACGGCCCAAACUCCUACGGGAGGCAGCAGUGGGGAAUAUUGGACAAUGGGGGGAACCCUGAUCCAGCGACGCCGCGUGAGUGAAGAAGUAUUUCGGUAUGUAAAGCUCUAUCAGCAGGGAAGAAAGAAAUGACGGUACCUGACUAAGAAGCCCCGGCUAACUACGUGCCAGCAGCCGCGGUAAUACGUAGGGGGCAAGCGUUAUCCGGAUUUACUGGGUGUAAAGGGAGCGUAGACGGCGAUGCAAGUCUGAAGUGAAAGGCGGGGGCUCAACCCUUGGACUGCUUUGGAAACUGUAUGGCUGGAGUGCAGGAGAGGUAAGUGGAAUUCCUAGUGUAGCGGUGAAAUGCGUAGAUAUUAGGAGGAACACCAGUGGCGAAGGCGGCUUACUGGACUGUAACUGACGUUGAGGCUCGAAAGCGUGGGGAGCAAACAGGAUUAGAUACCCUGGUAGUCCACGCCGUAAACGAUGAUCACCAGGUGU
rnacentral:rRNA from 1 species